rnacentral:rRNA from 1 species
AGUGAACGCUGGCGGUAGGCCUAACACAUGCAAGUCGAACGGCAGCACAGUAAGAGCUUGCUCUUACGGGUGGCGAGUGGCGGACGGGUGAGGAAUACAUCGGAAUCUACUUUUUCGUGGGGGAUAACGUAGGGAAACUUACGCUAAUACCGCAUACGACCUACGGGUGAAAGCAGGGGAUCUUCGGACCUUGCGCGAUUGAAUGAGCCGAUGUCGGAUUAGCUAGUUGGCGGGGUAAAGGCCCACCAUGGCGACGAUCCGUAGCUGACCUGAGAGGAUGAUCGGCCACACUGGAACUGAGACACGGUCCAGACUCCUACGGGAGGCAGCAGUAGGGAAUCUUGCGCAAUGGGCGCAAGCCUGACGCAGCCAUGCCGCGUGAGUGAUGAAGGUCUUCGGAUUGUAAAGCUCUUUUAUUGGGAAAGAAAAAAAGUGUAUGUAACUCCGCCCGUCCUGACGGUACCCAAAGAGAAAGCACCGGCUAACUUCGUG